rnacentral:rRNA from 1 species
AUGGCAUUGGUGCUACUGCUCGUCGUUGCAAUCACGCUAUAUCUAGCAUCUACAUCAGCACAACCUGUCCCUGGAUGCCAAACAUACUGUGGAGAUAUCAAAAUACCUUAUCCAUUUGGCAUUGGUGCAAACUGUGCCAUCAAAACUGGCUUUGAGAUUAACUGCAAUAGGACUGCCGAUGGAACUAUGAAGCCAUUCAUUGUCAAUAUCGAGGUUCUAGAUAUAUCACUGCUCCAUGGUCAAACACGGGCAUUAAACGCCAUGUCAACGUAUUGCUACAAUCAUGCCACAGGAUCAAUGUAUGACAACACGUUUUGGCUUGACUUCUCAUCAUGGCCUUACCGGUUCUCUGACGUGCAAAACAAGUUCAUAGUCAUUGGCUGCAACACACUUGCUUACAUCUAUAACAGCAAAAACAGGACCGGGUACACGACAGCAUGUGCAUCAGUGUGUGCGAGCCCAGGAGCCGUGACAAAUGGCUCAUGCUCUGGUGUAGGGUGCUGCCAAAAUGCUAUUCCCAAGGGCUUAAGGCGCUAUGAUGUCUAUUUCAGAAAUGUCUAUAAUGAUCAAGAUAGUUGGCAGUUUAACCCAUGCAGCUAUGCUGCCCUUGUGGAAACAAAGACAUUUAAUUUCAGCUCCGACUACAUAACCACAAAGAGGUUCAAUGAUACAUACAAAGGGAGGCAGCCACUGGUUCUGGACUGGGUAAUUGGAGAUGAAACAUGCGAGGUGGCCAGGAACAUGACUUCUUAUGCAUGCCGCAGCGCAAACAGCGUGUGUGUGGAUUCAACCAAUGGUCCAGGGUAUAUAUGCAACUGCUCCAGGGGGUACGAAGGAAACCCUUACCUCUUGGAUGGAUGCACAGAUGUCAAUGAAUGUGAGAAGUAUCCAAGUAAAUGCCCAAAGACUGCUGUAUGCCACAAUACAAAAGGAGAUUACCGAUGUUCAUGUCCUCCAGGCAGAAAGUUGGCGAAGGACACGAACUCUUGUAACCCAGAUAUCACCCUAAUCAUAGGCACUUGCAUCGGCUGUAUCGUUCUAGUGAUUGUCAUCUUCUGCAUGCGUUUAAUUUUUGAGAGAAGAAAGCUCACAGAUGUCAAGAAACAGUAUUUUCAGCAACAUGGAGGUGUGCUAUUAUUCGAGAAGAUGAAAUCCGACCAGGGACUUGCAUUUACGGUAUUCACUGAAGCACAAGUAGAAGAAGCAACAAACAAGUUUGACAAAAGCCAAAUUCUAGGACAUGGGGGCCAUGGGACUGUUUACAAGGGCAUUAUUAAGGGUACAAAUCCAGUGGCAAUCAAAAGAUGUGCAUUGAUUGAUGAAAGGCAUAAGAAGGAAUUUGGUAAAGAAAUGCUGAUUCUCUCCCAGAUCAAUCACAAGAACAUCGUCAAGCUGUUGGGCUGCUGCCUGGAGGUGGAAGUCCCAAUGCUGGUGUAUGAGUUCAUCCCAAAAGGAACAUUGUUUGAUCUUCUUCACGGAAAGAACCGCACACGGCACAUCCCAUUCAGUUCGCUCUUAAGGAUCGUAAAUGAGGCAGCAGAGGGGCUUGCAUUUUUACAUUCCUAUGCAAACCCACCAAUUCUACAUGGUGAUGUGAAAACUUCUAACAUCCUUCUUGAUGACAAUUACAUGGCAAAGGUAUCCGACUUUGGGGCUUCCAUACUAGUACCAACUGAUCAAGCCCAGUUUGUGACAAUGGUUCAAGGGACUUGUGGUUAUCUGGAUCCUGAAUAUAUGCAGACAUGUCGGUUGACAGAUAAAAGCGAUGUUUAUAGCUUUGGUGUCGUCCUUUUGGAAGUCCUUACUGGGCAGGUGCCACUAAAACUGGAAGGUAAUGAGUCACAAAGAAGCUUGGCAUCAUGUUUCCUAGUGGCUAUGAAGGAGAACAACCUUGAUGCCAUGUUGGAUAGUCAAAUAAAAGAUCACGAGAGCAUGGAGCUGCUUACUGGACUAGCGGAACUAGCAAAGCAAUGCUUGGAUAUGUGUGGUGACAACAGGCCCUCCAUGAAAGAGGUAUCUAUGGAGCUUACCAGAUUAAGGAGGCUUUCCAAACAUCCUUGGAUGCAUCACGAUGCUGAUACAGAGAGCUUUCUCAGUGCACCAUCAACCAGUAGUUUUGAAAUAGAACAAGGCUCUGAAUACACAAGGAAGGAUGAACAAAUGCCCAUGAAUCCAAGCAGUUCUUACUUUAUCAGAUGA